rnacentral:rRNA from 1 species
GGAUUGUAAACUCCUGUCGUUAGGGACGAUAAUGACGGUACCUAACAAGAAAGCACCGGCUAACUACGUGCCAGCAGCCGCGGUAAAACGUAGGGUGCAAGCGUUGUCCGGAAUUACUGGGUGUAAAGGGAGCGCAGGCGGACCGGCAAGUUGGAAGUGAAAACUAUGGGCUCAACCCAUAAAUUGCUUUCAAAACUGCUGGCCUUGAGUAGUGCAGAGGUAGGUGGAAUUCCCGGUGUAGCGGUGGAAUGCGUAGAUAUCGGGAGGAACACCAGUGGCGAAGGCGACCUACUGGGCACCAACUGACGCUGAGGCUCGGAAGCAUGGGUAGCAAACAGGAUUAGAUACCCUGGUAGUCCCACGCCGUAAACGCAUGCAUUCACUAGGUGUUGGAGGAUUGACCCCUUCAGUGCCGCAGUUCACACAAUAAGUCAUCCACCUGGGGAGUA